UUAAGUUCAGCGGGUCUUCCUACCUGAUCCGAGGUCAACCUUGGGUGCCGCGAGGGCGUGUUUAACGGCCGGUGCGCGCCGCACAACCGGAGCGAGACAUGAAUGCUACUACGCUCGGUGUGGACAGCGAGCCCGCCACUGAUUUUCGGGGGCUGCGGCCGGAGCCGCAGGUCCCCAACACAAGCCCGGGGGCUUGAUGG
rnacentral:misc_RNA from 1 species